rnacentral:rRNA from 1 species
CAAUAGCGUAUAUUAAAGUUGUUGCAGUUAAAAAGCUCGUAGUUGGAUUUCGGGGUGGCCUGGCUGGUCCGCCGCAAGGUGAGUACUGGUCAGCCGCCCUUCCUCUCGAAAGCCCCGACUGCUCUUUACUGCAGUGGUCGGGUAGUUCGGGACGUUUACUUUGAAAAAAUUAGAGUGUUCAAGGCAGGCUAUCGCCUGAAUACAUUAGCAUGGAAUAAUGGAAGAGGACCUCGGUCCUAUUUUGUUGGUUUCUAGGGCCGAAGUAAUGAUUAAGAGGGACAGUUGGGGGCAUUCGUAUUUAAUUGUCAGAGGUGAAAUUCUUGGAUUUAUGAAAGACGAACUAGUGCGAAAGCAUUUGCCAAGGACGUUUUCAUUAA